AUAGAUAAAGACUGAAGUCGUCUCAAAUCAUGAAGUUAUUCCCCAAUUCAAUCAAAAUAUUGUUUUCUCUCUCUCUCCAUAAAAACAAAUAGUAUUUUUGAUUUAGCUUUACUGAUGGUUACGACUAGAAUUUGUCUUUGUUUGGAUAUGAAACUGAUUUUAUCAGUGAAGCCUAGAGUAUUCUAGGCUUUU
rnacentral:sRNA from 1 species